rnacentral:rRNA from 1 species
GACGAACGCUGGCGGCGUGCUUAACACAUGCAAGUCGAACGGAAAGGCCCUGCUUUUGUGGGGUGCUCGAGUGGCGAACGGGUGAGCAACACGUGAGUAACCUGCCCUUGACUUUGGGAUAACUUCAGGAAACUGGGGCUAAUACCGGAUAGGAGCUCCUGCUGCAUGGUGGGGGUUGGAAAGUUUCGGCGGUUGGGGAUGGACUCGCGGCUUAUCAGCUUGUUGGUGGGGUAGUGGCUUACCAAGGCUUUGACGGGUAGCCGGCCUGAGAGGGUGACCGGCCACAUUGGGACUGAGAUACGGCCCAGACUCCUACGGGAGGCAGCAGUGGGGAAUAUUGCACAAGGGGCGGAAGCCUGAUGCAGCAACGCCGCGUGCGGGAUGACGGCCUUCGGGUUGUAAACCGCUUUCGCCUGUGACGAAGCGUGAGUGACGGUAAUGGGUAAAGAAGCACCGGCUAACUACGUG